CCUCUCCCUACUUAAUUCUUUUUUCUUUAUUUUUUUUGAUAAAUUCUCUAGUACCCCACCCCAAACUUAAUCAGUUGCAAAUACCAAAAGCAACCCCAAACUUAAUGAUGAACAAUGUGCUCUAAUCAUAAGUUAAGUGAUCUAACUCCAAGAAAAUCAUCUUUUUUUUUCUUAUAUGUUUUCAAACUUGGGUUAUCAAACAAAGAA
rnacentral:lncRNA from 1 species